AAAAAAAAACUAAAAAAAAAAAUUUGAGCACAUUAAAAUUUCAUGUUAUUUCAUAGUUCCUUAAAAAGUUGUUAAACUGCAGGAACUAUUUAAUUUUAUGCUGUGGCCUAAAGAAGCUGCUUAUGAUAGUUAGGAAAGAGAGGGUGGUUUUCAUUUUAAUGGAACUUAGGUUUAACUAAUUAAUUGUUUGGAAUUGUGUAUGGUGCUGGCUUGGUUGUGGCACAGUUGUAAGGCUCCAGUUAGGUAGGAUACAUAGCAUGCAAUCAUUAUUGUCAAUGACUCAGUGGACUGCUGUGGCAAAUGUUUGACACCCAACUUUUAUAU
rnacentral:misc_RNA from 1 species